rnacentral:rRNA from 1 species
GGUUAAGCGACUAAGCGUACACGGUGGAUGCCCUGGCAGUCAGAGGCGAUGAAGGACGUGCUAAUCUGCGAUAAGCGUCGGUAAGGUGAUAUGAACCGUUAUAACCGGCGAUUUCCGAAUGGGGAAACCCAGUGUGUUUCGACACACUAUCAUUAACUGAAUCCAUAGGUUAAUGAGGCGAACCGGGGGAACUGAAACAUCUAAGUACCCCGAGGAAAAGAAAUCAACCGAGAUUCCCCCAGUAGCGGCGAGCGAACGGGGAGCAGCCCAGAGCCUGAAUCAGUGUGUGUGUUAGUGGAAGCGUCUGGAAAGGCGCGCGAUACAGGGUGACAGCCCCGUACACAAAAAUGCACAUGCUGUGAGCUCGAUGAGUAGGGCGGGACACGUGGUAUCCUGUCUGAAUAUGGGGGGACCAUCCUCCAAGGCUAAAUACUCCUGACUGACCGAUAGUGAACCAGUACCGUGAGGGAAAGGCGAAAAGAACCCCGGCGAGGGGAGUGAAAAAGAACCUGAAACCGUGUACGUACAAGCAGUGGGAGCACAGAGCAAUCUGUGUGACUGCGUACCUUUUGUAUAAUGGGUCAGCGACUUAUAUUCUGUAGCAAGGUUAACCGAAUAGGGGAGCCGAAGGGAAACCGAGUCUUAACUGGGCGUUAAGUUGCAGGGUAUAGACCCGAAACCCGGUGAUCUAGCCAUGGGCAGGUUGAAGGUUGGGUAACACUAACUGGAGGACCGAACCGACUAAUGUUGAAAAAUUAGCGGAUGACUUGUGGCUGGGGGUGAAAGGCCAAUCAAACCGGGAGAUAGCUGGUUCUCCCCGAAAGCUAUUUAGGUAGCGCCUCGUGAAUUCAUCUCCGGGGGUAGAGCACUGUUUCGGCAAGGGGGUCAUCCCGACUUACCAACCCGAUGCAAACUGCGAAUACCGGAGAAUGUUAUCACGGGAGACACACGGCGGGUGCUAACGUCCGUCGUGAAGAGGGAAACAACCCAGACCGCCAGCUAAGGUCCCAAAGUCAUGGUUAAGUGGGAAACGAUGUGGGAAGGCCCAGACAGCCAGGAUGUUGGCUUAGAAGCAGCCAUCAUUUAAAGAAAGCGUAAUAGCUCACUGGUCGAGUCGGCCUGCGCGGAAGAUGUAACGGGGCUAAACCAUGCACCGAAGCUGCGGCAGCGACGCUUAUGCGUUGUUGGGUAGGGGAGCGUUCUGUAAGCCUGCGAAGGUGUGCUGUGAGGCAUGCUGGAGGUAUCAGAAGUGCGAAUGCUGACAUAAGUAACGAUAAAGCGGGUGAAAAGCCCGCUCGCCGGAAGACCAAGGGUUCCUGUCCAACGUUAAUCGGGGCAGGGUGAGUCGACCCCUAAGGCGAGGCCGAAAGGCGUAGUCGAUGGGAAACAGGUUAAUAUUCCUGUACUUGGUGUUACUGCGAAGGGGGGACGGAGAAGGCUAUGUUGGCCGGGCGACGGUUGUCCCGGUUUAAGCGUGUAGGCUGGUUUUCCAGGCAAAUCCGGAAAAUCAAGGCUGAGGCGUGAUGACGAGGCACUACGGUGCUGAAGCAACAAAUGCCCUGCUUCCAGGAAAAGCCUCUAAGCAUCAGGUAACAUCAAAUCGUACCCCAAACCGACACAGGUGGUCAGGUAGAGAAUACCAAGGCGCUUGAGAGAACUCGGGUGAAGGAACUAGGCAAAAUGGUGCCGUAACUUCGGGAGAAGGCACGCUGAUAUGUAGGUGAAGUCCCUCGCGGAUGGAGCUGAAAUCAGUCGAAGAUACCAGCUGGCUGCAACUGUUUAUUAAAAACACAGCACUGUGCAAACACGAAAGUGGACGUAUACGGUGUGACGCCUGCCCGGUGCCGGAAGGUUAAUUGAUGGGGUCAGCGCAAGCGAAGCUCUUGAUCGAAGCCCCGGUAAACGGCGGCCGUAACUAUAACGGUCCUAAGGUAGCGAAAUUCCUUGUCGGGUAAGUUCCGACCUGCACGAAUGGCGUAAUGAUGGCCAGGCUGUCUCCACCCGAGACUCAGUGAAAUUGAACUCGCUGUGAAGAUGCAGUGUACCCGCGGCAAGACGGAAAGACCCCGUGAACCUUUACUAUAGCUUGACACUGAACAUUGAGCCUUGAUGUGUAGGAUAGGUGGGAGGCUUUGAAGUGUGGACGCCAGUCUGCAUGGAGCCGACCUUGAAAUACCACCCUUUAAUGUUUGAUGUUCUAACGUUGACCCGUAAUCCGGGUUGCGGACAGUGUCUGGUGGGUAGUUUGACUGGGGCGGUCUCCUCCUAAAGAGUAACGGAGGAGCACGAAGGUUGGCUAAUCCUGGUCGGACAUCAGGAGGUUAGUGCAAUGGCAUAAGCCAGCUUGACUGCGAGCGUGACGGCGCGAGCAGGUGCGAAAGCAGGUCAUAGUGAUCCGGUGGUUCUGAAUGGAAGGGCCAUCGCUCAACGGAUAAAAGGUACUCCGGGGAUAACAGGCUGAUACCGCCCAAGAGUUCAUAUCGACGGCGGUGUUUGGCACCUCGAUGUCGGCUCAUCACAUCCUGGGGCUGAAGUAGGUCCCAAGGGUAUGGCUGUUCGCCAUUUAAAGUGGUACGCGAGCUGGGUUUAGAACGUCGUGAGACAGUUCGGUCCCUAUCUGCCGUGGGCGCUGGAGAACUGAGGGGGGCUGCUCCUAGUACGAGAGGACCGGAGUGGACGCAUCACUGGUGUUCGGGUUGUCAUGCCAAUGGCACUGCCCGGUAGCUAAAUGCGGAAGAGAUAAGUGCUGAAAGCAUCUAAGCACGAAACUUGCCCCGAGAUGAGUUCUCCCUGACUCCUUGAGAGUCCUGAAGGAACGUUGAAGACGACGACGUUGAUAGGCCGGGUGUGUAAGCGCAGCGAUGCGUUGAGCUAACCGGUACUAAUGAACCGUGAGGCUUAACCUU